UUCCCCCCAAAUCGAUCCAUGAGCCCUCCCCCAAACCCCACGGCGCUGCCAGAUUGAUUUUAACCCGGCCACAGAGGCUCGCUCACCGCCACGACCUGCAGCCUUCGGAGUCAACUUACCUCCUCAGCUGCUCGCGCGCCGCACCUCGUCCGCUGCACCAGGUGACUGAAAUUGCAAUUAGUGAUAGGGUUUGUUCAGAUGGCAUUUAGAGGAAGGGGGCAUGGGCGAGGUGGUUUGGUCAUGGUUCCGCUAGUUUUGCGAAACAAGAGCCGUAUGAAAUAUUUCUUGAAAUCGAAGGAUACCUGAAUGUCAGUCCUAAACAAAAAGAAGAAUUUACGAGAUUAAGAAAAUGCGAUGAUGAGUUGAAAAAAAUUUGGGUUUCAUCUCCUUAUCAUUUGGGGUCACUACAAGAAAAAACCCCUAUAGGGGCGACACCUAUAGGAACUGUUGGGAUUCAAGCACAGUUGCAGCGGAAGUAUGGGAUUUGCUUGAAUCAGUAUUCAAGUUUAGACAGGAAAUAUGUAGAAACAUUAGGAAUCAGAAAAAAGGUAUUCGAAUAGAAUGAGUGAAAGGGGACAAUUCUAAGAAACAGAAUGUCUUGAUACCGGAAG